rnacentral:tRNA from 1 species
GCCUAGCUGGUUCAUUCGGAAGACCAUGAGACUCUUGAUCUUGGGGGUCAUGAGUUCAAGCCCCAUGUUGGGUG